rnacentral:lncRNA from 1 species
AUUUAUUUUUAGCUGGCUUCUGACUACUCAGCUGUUAAAACAGUCACUUUGUCUUUUCAACAUACUUACAAGAAGACCAACAGAUGGCCAACAGGCCAAAUUUGAGUUGUGACCCCUACUGUAUGCUCUCUCCCUAGGUGGACAGCAUCCAUUUUCACAGCUUCAAUUACCAUUUACAUAUUAAUGAAACAGGAGGGAAGGGGGGCAGAGCACAACCCUUAAAAAAAUGUCAUACUCCUUGAGGAUAUGACAAAACCUGGUUAGAACCAACUAGGUCCAAGAUGGUGGAUGAUUUGACUUCCAGUGGACCUUGAGCUUCAUUGUACUCUAUUGUAACACUUUAGCAUGCUCAAUGACAUGCCCACAGGUGCUAUGACAGUUCUAAGGCCGACCACAUAAAGCCAAAAGGGAAAGUGGCGUGAUUCCUGUAAACCCCUGCCCCUUCCUGGAAAUAGUUGGAAUAAUCCUUCCACUCAUUAGCCUAUGAAAUUGCCCAGCUCAUAAAAUUCACCACCUCAUAUUUCAGGGCCUAUAACCUUUAGCCAGAGAUGCCCACACUCUGUCUAUGGAGUAUGUUUCUCCUAGGGCUGCUCGCUCUCUCUCUCUCUCUCUCUGAGAUAGCCCAUACUUUGUCUAUCUCUCAAUAAAUCUACUUCUUACCUAUCACUUUUCCUCUUGCUGAAUCCCUUCUGUGCUGAGACAUAAAGCCCCUGAACUUCAGUUAAGUCCUGCGAUUAGGUAUGUGAUUUUAAUUAAAAAACUGUGGGUUCAAGUCCCAGUCUGGGUUUUGAUCAGGUUUGAGUUCUAGCCAUCUGAGGGCAUGGUUUCAAUAACCCCUAAAUUUGUAUUGCCAGCUUCCUCUUCUGAGCUUCAGAUCCAAUGUAACAUAGCCUGCUUACAUAUUCCUAAGAAACAUCAAACUCAAGAUAUCCAAAGCUAAGCUUUUCAUUUUCCACCCAAACUUGCUCUUUUGUGGUGUAUCCUGCCUCAGUGAAUACCAUUCCCUUCUACCAAGUUGCCCCAGUCAGAGCCCUUUGAGACUUCCCACACAAGAGUUCCCAAAUUUGUCUGCUUUUCUUCAUCUCCAUUGCAAACACUGUUGCUGAAACUCGGCCUCUAUAGAAAUGCAGAGACAAAGUUUUGGGUGAAGCAGAAAAAAAUAGCUUUUACUGCUUUGCCAGGCAAAGGAGGCCACAGCAGGCUAAUGCCCUAAAGACUGUGCCCUCCUUUGGGAGAGAAUAGGAAGUGGUGUUAUAGUUUUGGGAGAGAAAAAUAGAGCCACAGAUAAGGAUUAGGGUAGAUACAAGCUUGUAUUCUUCUUCAAAGCUGGUGUUUAGCAGCCUGGACUGAUUCCAGUGGUCCUCUUUUUUUCAGGAGUGAAGAAUGCUUCAUCAAGUAGUUAAUAUUUUUUAUUUAUUGGAGGUUUUAGUUUUGCAAAAGAACUCAAAGAUAUUGUUAUGUAUAUUCCUUGAGGAGAAACCAGGACCCUGCCCUAAGGCAGCACUAUUGUUUCUCUACUGCUCCUCAGUAGUCUCUGCAUCCCCUCCUCCAGCAACUGUUUGAACCUGCCCUUUAGAACUCAGGGAAGGGCAUGGAGGCUUGAAUGAGGCCCAUUUCCUAAAAACAAGAAAUGGGGGACACGGAAAGGUUUUUGUGCCCAGGAGCCUCACAAGGCCCUGCUCUGCUCAGUUUCAACACCUUGAUCUAAAACUAUGAAGUGUUUGUUGGGAGUUCCCUUCAUGGCUCAGUGGUUAACAAAUCCGACUAGGAUUCAUGAGGAUACAGGUUUGUUCCCUGGCCUAGCUCAGUAGAUUAAGGAUCUGGCAUUGCCCUGAGCUGUGGAGUAGGUUGCAGAUGAGGCUCAGAUCCCGCGUUGCUGUGAUUGUAGUGUAGGCUGGCAGCUGUAGCUCUGAUUUGACCCCUAGCCUGGGAACUACCAUAUGCCGCGGGGAAGGGGGGCCCUAAGAAGCAAAAAAUUAAAAACAAAAACAAACUAUUAAAGUGUUUGUUGUAUGAACCAGACACAUGGGCACCUGAGUUGUAAAAUGCAGAUCUCAAGCCCUACCCUAGACUUCCCUAAGCAGAAUCUGCAUUGUAUAAAAUCCCCAGGGAAUUCACUAAGAUUUGAGAACUUCUUACCUUGACUUUUGACAAAAUGUAUUUUCUGGCGUCCCAGCAUCAAUAUGUUGCCCUUUAAAACUCUAUAUUGCAAACCUUUUAAGUCACUUCCCUCAUUAAGUUCCAUAACUAGCUCCCCAUUGCUUUGGAGCUAUAAAGCAAAAACCUACAGAAUACAAAGCCCUACGGAAAUCCCCAUCCUGCCUAGUUCCCAGCCCCAUUCUGACUUGCCCUCUGGACUCCAGCCAUGUUUGUAUUCUUCCCAUUCCUGUGUCAGGGCCUUAUUUUUCCCCAGUCAGGGCCUUUUUGCCAGCUGCCCUCCCCUGCCAGCAUGAUCUCAACUUCCCUAGAGCAUAGCUAAUUCCUACUCCUUCUCUUCCUCAAAGAAGCCCCCUCUUACAACCCCGGUAAGGUCAGCCACUCCAGGUUAAGCUCUCUUUGCCACUGUGCUCCUUCCAACUGUUUAUCACAGUUGUACCUAAAUAAUGGAGUGUGUAUGUUUCCUUGUCUUCCCUGGUUGAAUUGAAGCUCUCAAGCGGCUGCCUCAGCUCUCCCAUUGUUACAUCCUUCCAGCGCCUAGCACAGUGCUUGAUACAUAUUACACAUCAAUGAGUAGCUGUUGACUUGAUGAAUAGGAAUGAAUAAUCAUCUCCAGGGAGUUGUCCUGGCUCAGGGUGGCCCUGCUUUCAAUUUCAAUUGGAAUCAAGAAUCUGAAAAACACUGAAGAGGGCCUAGGAAGUAUAAUUUGGCCACCAGCAAGCAGCUCAGGAUGAAAAUGUCCAAUUCUGACAGAUGUACCCCAUGCACGUGCUGAAAGGAAAACAGAAGCAGCCCGCCUCAGAGUGGUGGUAAACAUUCUGUUUCCUGGCCAGUGCCCUCCUCCUCAAUACACUCCCAAGCUGACCUUUAGAAGGACUUUUGUAUAGUGGGAGGUCUCUUUUAACCUCCAGUGUAUAAGGGCGUGAAGUGGUGUUUGCUUUUUUCCCUUUGUUCUCUGGCUGAGAAAAGUCUGGAGGCGGUUGAGUGAGGCUUACUAAUACAAUUGCCUUCCCUUUCAAAUGCUAAAAAGGGGUUUUGCUCCUGGUUUAAUAUAAUCUGAGCCUUGUAGAGGUCUGGAAGGGAUCCACUCCCCUUCCUUUUGGCAUCUCAUUUCCUGCAGGCUAGGGACAACAUCGCAAUUAAUAGCAAAACCAAAGCUGUAAAAAUAUAAUCUACAUUGCCCUCUAAGCAUCUCGAUGUAGUGAGCCAGCACAGGAGAGUCCAUUGCUAAAUUGACAGGGAAAGCCUGGAGGAGAAAGGUAGGAUGUGUACAGUCCCACUGUCCUGGCUCUGGACAGAGCUCCUGGCAUUCAUGGCAUUCCCCUUGCCGGGAGAGAGCUGGAGUCAGAGACUGACCUGCUGAAGUUGGCUGUAAUCACAGCCCUUUGACUUCCAUACAGGUGUGGAUCUGGGGUUUGGGUGAGCAUGGUGUUUAUAAAAUUUGGAGGGCUCUCUUUAAAAAAGAGAAUGUACAACUAUGAGUCAGAAUGAGAAUAAGAAUUUGAAAAGAACUAAAGGCCAUCAUUGGCUUCAUGAUAAUUACCCCCAAACAGUGUUUGCCUCUUGCUGGAUGUUAGGCCAAAACACACAACCAAGCCAAAGAUCAGGAAAAGCAAGUAAGGAGAACACCAAGGACCUUUCCUAUCGCAGUGACUCCCUGAACAGCAAAAAUAGGGAAGUUUUAAGCUAAGGAUACAUGCAUUUCCAGGAAGGGGCUGGGGUGGUAUAUGCAUAUUCCUAAAGGGACUUGAGCAGGAGAAUUCUGCAUAGAAUUGGGGCAAAUGUUGACAGAGUCCAGGCUUUAGUUGAUUGAAGUCAAGUGGGUUAGUAAAAGUCAACAUCAUUACUCCUUAGGUUCUGAUCACCUGGGGUUUCAGCAUGUAAUUACCAUCCUCCACCUGGGUGGGGGCUUUCAAAAAUGUGUAUCAGAUUGUGAGGAAUAUCCCUUGAAGAGAAACUGGGACUCUGCUUUUUGCUGAACUAUUGUUUCUUGACUUCUUUCCCUUUGUUCCUGCAUUUGCUCACUUCCCUUAAUCACUCAUUGCUGAGACUUGUUCAAAGACAAACAUUGUGGCCAAGCAUGGAUCACAAAAUGGCUUAGACCAAAUGGCUUUUCUUAUGUCAAGAAAGCCAUGCUUGGUUCUCUUUCUCUGGAGACCCCUUUCCCUAUCUGCUUGUAAUACCUCUGCCUCUUCCCCCUAGCAGAGUGUACUGGAAAAGCUGAGGCUUGGUAACCCUUGGACAAGUUACUCCCUCCCUAGAGCCUUAGUUGUGUAAUCUGUAAAAUGGGAUCCUCUACCCAGAGAAAUGAUGUAAGGGAAAGACACUUGAGAGCAAAAAUAAACUAAUGUUUGAUAGGAGAUACUCAAUGAAAACCCCAUUUUGGAGACCUCCUCUCUGGGAACUAUGUGUGUGGAUAAGCUGUACAAGUAUGACCUUCAUAGCUUGUCAUUUUUAGGAGAAUGACAUGGUGAAAAUUGGGCAAAUUACAAAUAGAAAAGUUAUGGGCAUAUAUGAUUGUGUAUAUAUUCUGGAAAGCCUAAAAGGGUACAUGCUUAUCUAUUUAUUGUGGUGGGGUUUUCAUAUUUACUUCUACAUUUAUGAAUUAUUUUUACAAGUACAUAUUUUUAUAAUAUUAUUAUUUUAUUAAAUUUCUCUAAAACAACAAGGAACCCCUAUGCUAAACAGAAGCUCUUUCAAAACCUGUGGAAGGUUGGAAGAUGAAGAUGCCAGAGAUAACUGAGCUUAGUAGUCUGGUUGUGGAAGAGAAUGACUAACCUUAAGGAGAAAUGCAAAUUAAGCUUUGUGCUUGUGAAUGACAGUAGAGCUCAGUUUUAGGCAUGUAGAGUGUGAUGAGUCAGUGGGAUAUACAGGUGGAGGUGUCCAAAACACGCUAUUACCUCUGUGAGGAUGAUCGCCUGGGAAAUCUAUUCCUAGCUCCCUGCUGGAUGUAUGGCUUUUAUUUAUAUAUGCCAUCAACCCAAAGACAACCUCUCUAGCCCUGAAUCCAUCGUGAUUUUCACUCCACAAGCCAUUUUCACCUUCCCACUGCUCUGUGGUGGUUAAAGAGAUUUUCAUUUCCCAAACUCCCUUGUCUACUACUUCUAGGUUGUUUUCAAUUCCCCUCUCCUUUGAUGCUCAUAUUUACUUAGGCACCAAAUCUUACUGAUUUUUUUCCUUUACAGCAUCUCUCACUUCCACAUGUCUUCUACCACGUCUACCUCUUCAAAUUACCUAAUUAUGGUCCUUUUAUUUAUUUAUUUUCUUUCUUUCUUUUUAGGCUGCACCUGUGGCAUGUGGAAGUUCCUGGGCCAGGGAAUUGAAUCCAAGCCACAGGUGCAACCUAUGCCGCUAUACCAGGCCAGGGAUUGAAUCCAAGCCACUGCAGAGACAAUGCUGGAUCCUUAACCCACUAUACCACAGUGAGAACUCCUGGUCGUUAAUUUUUAUAGCAUAACAACUACCUUCUGAUGAGACCCUUGCCUCCGGAAUGUCUCCUAACCAUCCAUUCUGUCUACUACAAUAAGGUUACCCUUCUGAAAACCCUAAAUUGAUCCUGUCACUCCCUUUCUCACAAACUUUGAUUGACUUUCUGUCCUCAACAAGAGAAAGUUCAAAUUCCUUAAUAUUAUAAAAUUCAUAAUAUAUGAAUAUUAUGCUCUAGCAUAUUCUCCAGCCAAAUUGAUCUGUUUUCCAUCUGGGAACCUAUUUUUCUCUCUCCCAGCCUUGCAUGCAACUUUAUUGGAGUAUAUGGACAGUGAAAGAUUAAUUUAUAGAAAUACCUUGAAAUGUAAGAUGAGAGGGGCUUGGUAUUCUGGCAGAGUUUCAGAUGAGAUUCCAUUCUACAUACGAGCUAGCCUGCCAUGCUGGUGCACUCCAGUCACAGA